GCUUACGGCCAUACCACCCUGAACGCGCCCGACUCGUCCGAUCUCGGAAGCUAAGCAGGGUCGGGCCUGGUUAGUACUUGGAUGGGAGACCGCCUGGGAAUACCAGGUGCUGUAAGCC
rnacentral:rRNA from 15 species